rnacentral:lncRNA from 1 species
AGCUCCACAUCAGAAUGGUAACAAUAUAGGGCCUUUCCACUUGUUGAGUUGCACUAUGCUCUACCCAACAAGUUAAAAAGAUCCCUAUUAACUCUGUAGUCAGUAUUAAUCUAAAUACAAGACACCUCUAUUGAAUAGAUCAAUAACCAAUAAAAACCUUAGGCAUAAGCUAAAGCCUCUUAACCACCACACCACUCUUGUU